rnacentral:rRNA from 1 species
CCUACGGGGGGCUGCAGUGGGGAAUAUUGGACAAUGGGGGGAACCCUGAUCCAGCCAUGCCGCGUGUGUGAAGAAGGCCCUCGGGUUGUAAAGCACUUUCAGUGAGGAAGAACGCCUGGUGGUUAAUACCCAUCAGGAAAGACAUCACUCACAGAAGAAGCACCGGCUAACUCCGUGCCAGCAGCCGCGGUAAUACGGAGGGUGCGAGCGUUAAUCGGAAUUACUGGGCGUAAAGCGCGCGUAGGUGGCUUGAUAAGCCGGUAGUGAAAGCCCCGGGCUCAACCUGGGAACGGCAUCCGGAACUGUCAAGCUAGAGUGCAGGAGAGGAAGGUAGAAUUCCCGGUGUAGCGGUGAAAUGCGUAGAGAUCGGGAGGAAUACCAGUGGCGAAGGCGGCCUUCUGGACUGACACUGACACUGAGGUGCGAAAGCGUGGGUAGCAAACAGGAUUAGAUACCCUUGUAGUC